rnacentral:misc_RNA from 1 species
AAGACGGCACACAAACACACGCACAUAUACGCGCACACAAGAACGCACCCUCCUCAAAGGGCCUCGCCUUCUCGCUGCUUAGCCUCUUUCCCCUGUACGACUCCUCAAGAUGAGCGCAGCCGUUCAGACGUUGGCCACGGUCAUGGCGACGGACAUGAAUUAUUACGCGGGUGACCCGACCGUGUUGGCCGCAGAUGUGGCGAGCAGCCGCGUAGAGCAGAUACUGCAGUCCUCGCGCUCCGACCAACUCACGGCCCGCGUUGCCAUUCACGCGCAGCUGCGCGAGGCCUUCAAGAACGCCGAUGUGCAGCAGCGGCUCAAGCCCUUCCUCAACAAUGGAGAGGACAUGCAGAUGUACGUGCAGGAUGCCAAGGCGCGCGCCCGCUUCUUCUCCCAGAAACAGCAGGAGCUGCAGCACGAUAUCCUGCAGAGCGAGGAGCAGCGGCAGCUGAAGGAGGCGCACGGUGAGCUGGCGGCCUGGGAGCGCGAGAACGCCGUGCUGCUGCGCCACCAGAUGUUCAUGACGUACAUGCCGUCGCAGGCGCUGCUGCUGGAGAGCGCGGCAACCGUCGCCCUCUACCGCCAGUACGCCACCCUCGAAGAGGGCCAGUACACGAGCGAUAGUAGCGACGGAGAGGUGCCGAUGAUGCUGAAGAAGAUGGGCGGCAAGACGUACUUCACGCAGUCCGAGCAGCCGUUCGAGGUGGACACGCACAACAAGAUGUUCAGCCAGCAGGUGCUACAGAACAAGCGUGUCGAGUACGAGCAGAUGCGCGAGAAGGCGGCGCAGCUGCGCCAGGCACUGGAGGAGUGCCCGACGGUGAAGCGGCUGGAGGCGUUUGUGGAGCUGCGCAACGACAUCUUUAUCGAGUACGGCAUCGACCGCCUCGCCUCUCUGUGCAGCCGCAAGGACAAGGAGAUGGGCAAUCCAAACGAAGGCGGCGUGGACGUCAGCCUGCACGGCCUGCCUGCCGACCACGAGUACGUCUCAUCCAGCCGCGUGGCACAGUACUCACUGCCCAAGAUUGUGGAUGCGGCCUACAAGAACUACCUGAACAUUCUCUCGAUGGAUGAUUGGGAUGCGAUGAUGAAGCACACGGGCAGCAACGCGCGGGCGGUGAUGGAGAAGAUUAAGCCCAUGAAGGACAAGGAAACGUUCCGCUACUGGUUCUUAUCCUGCAUCACGGCGGAUGUGCCGCAGAUGGGGCCAAACAAGAUCGUCGGCCAGAAGGUGACGACGCUGGAGGACUACAAGAAGUUCUGGGCGCCGCAGAAGUCGAACUACGUCCCCUCCCUCACGUCCAACCGCAGCAUAUUUGGAAGCAAGGUCGCCGACCGCCGUGGCCUGCCGCACUUUCUCAUCUUGUCCCCCGUCACGUACCGCUACCGCGAGAACAACGACCCGAACGCCGUCAAGACCGGAAAAAUAGAUCUCAUGGUGUACGACGCAACAAACGAAAAGGUGCUGCUCAUGCUGACGAAUUCGUCCGACGAGCGCCGCCCGCGUGCCGCCUUCCUGAACGCGCAGGAGGAGCGCUACCGCUUCGCCGCCGUGGUGCGCUCGGCGAUCACCUACGAGAACCAGUACCACGGCUUCGAGUGCGAAGGCACGGUUGCCGAGUACUUCUUCGAUGCUCAGGAAGGGCCGGAGGAGAACUACUACUGCAUCAUGGCCCCGCACCGCGUGUACAGCAAGCAGCCGAACAAGGUCCAGGUGCCGAUGAAGGCCCUCCGCCCCUUCACGUCCUGCCCGCCACGCUACUUUGUUCUCGGCUCAAAUUGGGGGGUGAGCGCCGGCACGAGCCGCAACCCGUACCCGGCCAGCUACGCGCACGUAGAGCUGAACGAGAACGCCGUCGGUCUCAGCAACGUCAUCCCCGACGGCUUCAUCUCUAGCAAGGUGCUGCCGCAACUGCUGAGCCGCGCCGAGGGCGUGCAGAAGCUCGAGGAGACGAAACGCCAGCAGCGGGCGGAGUCGGAGAGGCCACAAUCGUCGCCGCGCGCCCUCACCCGCACCUCUCGCGGCGGGGCCGCAACGCCGCGCCCGUCGACCGCCUCCCCUUCCCCCGAAAACAACGCCGCUGACAUCCUCGCUGACGAGAACAUGCGCGGCCCGGGUGAGGAAGAGGAUCCGCUGAGCCCUAUAGUCCCGAACGAGGUGCUGCACCCGGUGCGCGACCAGCUGCUGAAGCAGCGCCGCUCGUGGCAGAACCCCGCCUACAUCGCGUUCCGCGCACGCGACUCCGACCUCAGGCGGCUGCCGGCCGUCAAGGAUGGUCACUUGCGCACCCCGCUGAACGUCUUUAACGACCUCAUGAGGGAGAAACACGGCGAGGACGCGCCGCCGGCGUCGGCGCCGAGCAGCGCACGUCGCAGCAACGGGCCGCCGUCGAGCCGCACCGCAAGCGUUGCGUGCACUUGAGCGAAAAGAAAGGAAGGCGAUCCAGGGAGGAGGGGGUCAAGGUGUGUAGGUGGGCGUGUGGCGUGGAGGUGAUCCUAGAGUGGAGCGAGGUAGCAAGGGAGCGAAACAUGCUGCGCGAGGAAGAAGAACGGAGUAAGUCGACCAGUCCGCAACUCGGUCUGUGCAGGCCGCGUUCGCAGAACGACUGCUUUUACUUGUCGGCUUGUUUGCGGCUGUCUCUUCUUCUUCGUCGAUCACCAAAUCCCUUGAUGCUGGUCCACCGCCGGCUCUCCUCGAACCGCCUGCUUGCGCGGGUGUGUCUAUCCGUCUGCCCGUGUGUUUCCGCGUCUGGUUUGGUGCAUCAGAGCACAUGCGCAUUAUGCGCUCAAACACACACACACAGGCACAAACACCCCGCUGCCUCUCCCACUCCCCACCCCCUUCAUGAUCGGCCCUCCCUGUUCCCUCUCGCUCGCUCUCUGCGCGCGCGCGUGUGUGUCUGUGUGUGCUCGACAUAGUUCUUUUUCGCGUUGUUCUUUGUUUUCGUUCGCUGGUGUCAUUCUUUUCGCGAUGCCGGUCCGUCUCCGUGUCAGCGCGUCCGCGUCCGCGUGUGUGUCCUUGUCGUGUUUCUUUUCAGUGUCCUUAUCGCCACAAACGCGAGCAGGACACAUAGAAAGAUUCUUCUCCUGCCCAACGCGUCCGUUAUCCUGCCAUCGAAUAGGAGCGCAACCGCCACUCGACCCUCCCCCUCCCCCCUCCCACCGCACCCACGGGGCCUGCCGCAGCACAAGGCACCAACUCAGUGACCUGAGCGCGUCCCCUGCCUCAACCCGUGCCCCCCACCAGAGGGGAGGCUCGGCACUGGCAGGGGAUAGGGUGUGGGUGUCUGGCCUCCUCCUCCUUCCCCCUUCCCUUGCCGCCACAGAGGGAGAAAGAGAGCGAUGCAGAAUGAAGAAGGCGGGAGAGACCGGAGCAAGAGGAGAUUGGGCCGCAUACCCCUUCUGCCUGCGUGUAUGUGUGUUUGUGUGUCCACCGCUCAGCAAGUCGUUACUUGUUGGCCCUCUCUCCCUCUCACGCUGGCCACUAUCUACCCGCCCAUCCUCCAAUUCUUUGCUUCAAGCUUCCUCGUGCACAUCGUCUAGUCUUUAUGGCUCCUUUUACGGCUUCGUGUGGUGUAUCCUUCCUUCGCAGUGGCCAUAAGGAGGGGGGGGGGGGCAAGGGCUGCCGCUAUUCGUUGUAGCGGGAGGUCACUGUAGUGUUUUGCUGUCGCGGUGGCGGUGGUGGUGCCUUGCUCUCGCGUGAGCCCACGGGCACAUGUGUACUGCGCAUGCAGGCGAGAGCGUGAAGCAGAAAGUUGGGGAGGCUUCGUCGCAGGCAUGUACGCGCAUCAACCCUCCACCCACACGCAUCGCAACGCAGCACGCUUCUUUGACUGCUGUGGUUGGGUUUCUUCUCCGCCGUGCGUGAAGAAAAAGAGCGCGCGCGCGCGCGUGCGCCAUGAGCGUCGUGCUGUUCUUGUCGUCGUCGCUUCGCUCCUCCCUCCCCCCCCCUCCCUCCCUUCUUUACUCCUGUCUGGUCUGCCUGUCUGAUGUCCGUGUCUGGUGUCGAUAUGCGUCUGCCGCUCUGUUUUGCUUUUUAUUUCUUUGCGUCGCUGUGUUGCUGCGGUCCUCUGGCGUUCAUGAAGGGCGGUAGAUACGAUCAUCAUCACCAGCAUCAUCACCAGCAUCAUCAUCACCAGCAUCAUCAUCACCAGCAUCAUCAUCACCAGCAUCAACAUCAUUGUCAUCGUCGUCGUCGCGCCCCCCCCACCCUUUCUCGUGCAUCUUCUCUGUUACGUGUUUUCGUGUCCAUUGUUCCAAUGCCUUUUUUUUUUGGUAAGGAGAGGGGGGGGCUCUGUGCCUGUCAUUCGCAGUUUUGUCUGUUUCCGUCAGUCGAGCGGGCGAUCUCGCUCACCUCUCCCUUACAGCCACGCUCCACGCCACUUCUUCCUCUCGCCCGAACCCCCGAGUGCAGUCCUCUUUCGAACAGUAAGAGAUGCGAGAGCAGGGUGAGUUGGGGGGGGGGGCAAUACAACACGGCACGUACCACCUCCUCACCCCUCCCCAGUAAACGCGCUCAGAGAGGGGAGCGAAAAGCGCCUCGCCCUCAUGCGCAACGCACGUACGCGAGUGCAUCCUUCCUGGCGAAGGGAGGGGAGAGAUGUUACGGCUUGCCUACUUCCACCGUGUAUGUGUAUGUGCGUGCAUGUGCAUGCAUGCAUGCGUAGAGCUGUUCUUCUUUUCUCUUUGUUGUCGUCGUCGUGGGGGUCUCCAUCAUUCAUUCCUGUCUGUACAUCCAUACAUGUCUGUGCGUGUGUGUGUGUGUGUGUGUGUGUGUGUCUGUGCGCACGUCUCUCUUCUUGUACGUUCCCCUUCUGUUGCUGGCUUGGUUAUAUCUUAGAGAGCGAGGAAAGCGUCGUGCCUCUCUCGCGCGCUUUUGUGUUUACUUCGGCUCGCCGUUUCCGUCUCCCCCUUCUUUCGCCUCCCGUCGCGUUGCCAGCGAGCGCGCGGUGUAGUGCUGCGUAACGCCGGUGACGGUGAUGAUGCUGGCGCUGACGUUCUUCUUAUUCCUCGUAUAUGGUUGUUGUCGUUGGUCGCCCUAGUGAAGACCACGGGUUGCUGUUUUCAUCCUUUUUCGUGUAUGUGUGUGUGUGUGUGUGUUCAUCCGCUUCUCCAGCGCUCAGUCCACUCACACUGACCGAAUUCCCCCUCCUUCCCUCCGUCUUUCGACACCGCCCUACCUGGACUCCGAGCUCUCAUACUGUCGAAGUGGGGGGAGGGAGGCAGGGAGGGCGUCGCGGGGCGGGCCUGUGUCUGCGGCCAUCUCUGUGUGUGUGUGUGUGUGUGUGUGUCAUCGUGCAAGCCACCGUUCAAUCGAAAGCCGAUAGGGAAUCCAAAAGGAAAAGCGAAAACGUGCAGAGAGCUGCGGCGAACGCUGGCGCGUCGCCAUGUGCCUUGUGUACCAGGGGCAUGUGAAGGCGCUUGUGUGUGCCAUCGGUGACCGUUCUCCCUCUCUGCAUGAGCGGUAGUCACAUGGCGGUCCUUGCUGAGGGGGUCGAGGCAGCCAGGCGGCAGCGUCUUGCUUCUCUACGCCUUGCCUUCUUCACCAACGUCAGCUACACCCUCUUCCCCUUCCCCUUUCGUGCCGGCGUCGCACUCUUGCCGACAAUAGCCGCCACCACCACGGCCACCACCACCGCCACCACUCCCUUUCCAGACUUCGGUGUCUGUGUGAGUGAGCUGGGUGAUCAGGAGCACACCCUCUCCACCACCGUCUCUAUGCUCCCCGGUCCUGUCACCGGCGUGAACCUUUCCUCCUCCCCCCCCUUAAUCUCUCUUCCUUCGGCCAG